CCCUUAGAUGUUCUGGGCUGCAUGCGUGCUACACUGAUAUUGCCAAUAUGUCAUUCUUAUCCGAAAUGGAUUGGGUAAUCAAGUAAUGAAAUUUCAUGCUUGGAAUCGGUAAUUGCAAUUUUAUCGUGAACGAGGAAUUCCUAGUAAGCACUAGUCAUCAGCUAAUGUUGAUUAUGUCCCUGCCCUUUGUACACACCGCCCGUCGCUACUACUGAUUGGGUGUUCAAGUGAAAUGCUUAGACCCUUGUUGCAUGGUUCAUUAUUGUGCUCCGAAAGGAAAAAGUUUCAAGCUUGAGUGUCUAGAGGAAGUAAAAGUCGUAACA
rnacentral:rRNA from 1 species